rnacentral:piRNA from 1 species
CAGAACGAUGUGAAUCGUUAGCUCCUGGUA